rnacentral:tRNA from 4 species
GGGGAAUUAGCUCAGUCGGGAGAGCGCCUGCUUUGCAAGCAGGAGGUCACCGGUUCGAGCCCGGUAUUCUCCA